UACGGAGGAUCCGAGCGUUAUCCGGAUUUAUUGGGUUUAAAGGGUGCGCAGGCGGGGGAUUAAGUCGGCGGUGAAAUUUUGCAGCUCAACCGUAACAGUGCCAUUGAUACUGGUUUCCUUGAGUGUGGAUGAAGUAGGCGGAAUUUGUGGUGUAGCGGUGAAAUGCAUAGAUAUCACGAGGAACUCCGAUUGCGCAGGCAGCUUACUAAACUACUACUGACGCUCAGGCACGAAGGCGUGGGGAUCAAACAGGAUUAGAUACCCU
rnacentral:rRNA from 1 species